rnacentral:lncRNA from 1 species
UAUUGCUUUUAUUGUGAGACAAAACUUGGGCUUCAAAUCCUAAGACUUACUGAUUCAGAUCCUGUUGUCCCUCUCUGUAAAGCCUGUGCAUUAUUUCUUCUUUUAUACAUGGGACCUCUCAGUAAGUCAGGGGAUGUGCCUGAGAUGAGUAUGAAUAGCAAGCAGAUGGCAGAUACCUUCCAGGGAUAAUUACAGUGUUGUGGAAAGACUCAUGUGAUAAACACUGAAGGAGUGCAAAUGGAGGGAAAUGCAGAACUAAUGAAGUUGGGGUAAUAAUCCAGUUGGGAAGAAAAGUUUUAAAACCAGGAGUUAAAUGUGAAAAGGCUCUGUGGGAAUAUCAAUCAUUCAGGGCAGACUGAAGCUCUCUCUAGAGCUGUGUGACACUCUCCUCUGUGUGCUGGAUAUGAACAAACAUUUAUACUCUGUGACCAGGCUGUCUGAAAAGAGUUCACCAGAAAUAAUUCCUUCGCCCUUUCAUGCACCAGAUAAUCACACGUAUUUCCUUGCCAACAUUGUCAAGAUCUUCAUGUGUAUAAGUGCUAAGUUCAUAAUACCCUGUGUGUCUGUGUUUGCUCCUGCAGAGGAUUGCAUUACUGAGCACACCUUAUAUUUUAUUCAGGUGCUUUCAUCCCCCGCUGCAAUGAGGAAGGUUAUUACAAAGCCACGCAGUGCCAUGGCAGCACGGGGCAGUGCUGGUGUGUUGAUAAGUAUGGCAAUGAGAUCGCUGGCUCCAGAAAGCAAGGCACAGUCAGCUGUGAAGAAGAGCAAGAAACUUCAGGGGAUUUUGGCAGUGGUGGAUCUGUUGUAUUGUUGGAUGAUUUGGAAGAGGAACCUGAAGCAACAAAAAAAGACAAAGAAGGGAAACUGAAGAUUCAUGUAAGAGCAGCUAAUGAAGAUGAUGAAGAUGAAGAUGAUGAUAAGGAUGAUGAAAUUGGUUAUAUAUGGUAGUGCCCAUCAUGAUGAGGACUCACGUUUUGCACAAUAUUGCAACUCACAUCAUAUCUCUGCAAUUGUAUCUGAGAGUACCUGGCACAAAAAUUCCCUGUCUACUGAGUUUAAUUUUGUAUAGCCAAUUUAAUUUGGAUGACAACUUUUUUUUCCAGCAAAGGACUGUUUGGAAUACAGCUUUUGUUCAGUUGGUUUGGGGGAUUUUUGUUCUAUCCACAGGGGCAAUCAGUUUUGUUUCAAAACCAUUUCGUGUCUUAAUCCUCAUUUGCACCACUUAUGAAAUCCAUCUUGUGAAGGAAUCCUGGAAGGGGCUCAAAAAAAAAAAAAACAAUACAAAGGCUUAGAAGCCCCUCUCAUGUCAGAGAAUUUGUGUCAUAAAUUGUUACCUGGAUCAUAUGAGAAAAAGAUUUUUCUUUCAUGAAGAAGGAAAAGUAGGUGCCUCAUUUUCCAGUAUAUAUUUAUAAUGUCCCAGUGAAGAGUAAGUAUCUUUGGACAGUGGCUGCCCAGUACCAGGGGUUUAAUCCAGAGGAAAACCCAGGACUGUCAGGACUUUCCCUGAGCAUGAGUCAACAGGUUUAGUCCAGCUCACACUGAAGGCAAAACUCCCACCAGGGCAGAAUCAGCUCACUGAUUUGAUAAAGGAACAGGACCUUCUUGAUCUUAAGAGAUGCUGCAGCUGUCCUGGACCAAGGGUGUUUAAGGGGAGAGCAUUUGGUGAAUUUGUAGCACCAUAAGCACCCCCAGAGCUGUUCCUCAUAUGCCCAUUUGCACCAGGAGGGUCCCUGAUAACACACAGGCAACUCUGCUCCCAGCUCACACACCUCAGAGCUCUCUGUUCUCCACUGAGCAGCCCUCCUUCCAAAGCCAGAAUGCUGCCCAAGACACCAGCCCUCAAAAGGAACUGUCCCUUAUUUCAUACAGGUACAGAUAUCUGUUCAAAAAAGCAGUUUUAGGUGGUGAUAUUGCAAAAGCAAAACCCCUUGGCUCAGUGUGGCUGCACCCUUGUAAUGCACACUCCUGAAAGAGAAUAGAAUUAAAAUCCAAUCUGUGAUUCCCUCCAUACCUCCCAUAUAUUCAAAGCUCUUGUAUCAGAGCAUAUUGACAUUACAUUAUUUGCAGUGUCUUUUCCCAUGGCAGUUCUCAGAUGCAGUAAUGUGCUGUGGUGAUCUUUUAUUGUUUUUUGCUGUUUUGUGAAGCAGUGAGAGGAACCUUAACCCCACUCUUGCAGUAGGAUGCAGGUGUAAGUAUUUUAGCAGAGCCUGUGGUUGGCCAGUGAGUUAUUUUGCAGAAUGAAAAAUGUGUUUUUUAUAACAAAAACUAAUUAGAUUUUUUUUUUCUGAGUUAAUGGUGGAUAUAGAGAUGGAGACAGCAUUGAGUCACAACAUGGUUGUCUGCAUAGUUAGUUGAAAGCUGGAAAAUACCACACAGGUUGGCAGAAGUCAGUUUUUAGGUACACUGGCCUGGGGAUGUUGGCUCUCAGCCCUCUCCAAAGCCAGUGCCUGCCUGGCAGCCCUCUGGGUAGGACCUCUGCUUUCAGAUGUGGUCAGAAGUGGAAUUCCUUUUAGGUACCAUGUGCUGCAGGGGCUCUCCUGUUUUCUCCUCUUUUAUUUCCUAUUUAUCCAGAUCAAUGACCUGAGAACAAAGAGCAAGCCUACAUAAUCAUUAUUAAUGCAAAAGGAUGUGUAAAACCAUGAGGAAUUUGUUGUUUCACGCCCCUGCAUCCUCCCAAAAAUCUGCCAUCACAGUCAUUUGCAGAAGGCCUGCAAUCUGCCCUGCCUCAAAUAAAUCCCUUUGGUUUUCCCA